GCUCCUGGCCCUGAUGGCCUCUCUUUCCUCUUCCUACAACAGUUCCGGGAGAUUUUGAAGGAAGAUGUUAUGGCCCUCUUCAAAGAUUUCUAUGAGGGGGAGCUUGACAUAUAUAGACUUAACUUUGCUACUAUCACACUAGUACCUAAGGAGAAAGAUGCUUCUAGCAUGAAAAAGUUUAGGCCAAUUAGUCUCUUAAAUUGUAUUUUCAAAACUUUUACAAAGGUUCUGACUAACAGACUAGCCAAACUAAUGAACAUCCUUACUUCUAGCAACCAGUCUGCCUUCAUAAAAGGCAGAUUUAUUUUAGAGAGUGUAGUUACAGCACAUGAGGUGCUGCACUCUACUGUCCAUUCUAAUAAUUCUGGUGUAGUGAUUAAACUAGAUUAUGAGAAAGCCUUUGACAAGGUCAAUCUAGACUUCUUGUAUGAGGUGCUGGAGAAAAGAAACUUUGGCCCUAGAUGGAUAAAUUGGAUUAAACAAAUUACUCAAUUAGGCUCUAUUGGUGUAAAAAUUAAUGGUAUAGAAGGGAAUUUCUUUACUACUAGUAAAGGGCUUAGACAAGGUGACCCUGCCUCCCCUUUGUUGUUUAACCUUGUGAUAGAUGUGCUAACCAGGAUGCUAAUGAAAGCUGCAUCUCAUGACCUUGUGAAAGGAUUGUGCUCUGAUCUCAUCCCGGGGGGGUCAUCUGCUUGCAAUAUGCAGAUGACCCAAUCCUUUUCCUUGAUAACGACAUUGAAAAAGCAGCUAAGCUUAAAACUAUUUUAA
rnacentral:rRNA from 1 species